rnacentral:rRNA from 1 species
ACGGUGAGUAAUGCCUAGGAAUCGUGCCUGGUAGUGGGGGACAACGUUUCGAAAGGAACGCUAAUACCGCAUACGGUCCUACGGGAGAAAGCAGGGGACCUUCGGGCCUUGCGCUAUCAGAUGAGCCUAGGUCGGAUUAGCUAGUAGGUGAGGUAAUGGCUCACCUAGGCGACGAUCCGGUAACUGGUCUGAGAGGAUGAUCAGUCACACUGGAACUGAGACACGGUCCAGACUCCUACGGGAGGCAGCAGUGGGGAAUAUUGGACAAUGGGCGAAAGCCUGAUCCAGCCAUGCCGCGUGUGUGAAGAAGGUCUUCGGAUUUUAAAGCACUUUAAGUUGGGAGGAAGGGCAGUAAGUUAAUACCUUGCUGUUUUGACGUUACCAACAGAAUAAGCACCGGCUAACUUCGUG